rnacentral:sRNA from 1 species
CGAAAUGUCUUCUAGGGUUCCGGGUCGAUGAAAGUCAUCGGCUGGCUGGUCCGAGAGAAGGCGCACCGGGGCAGCCUGGUGUACACGGCGGGAAAAAAGCCCGGGAGAA